rnacentral:rRNA from 1 species
GACGAACGCUGGCGGCGUGCCUAAUACAUGCAAGUCGAGCGAACUUAUUCUAGUGCUUGCACUCUAAUAACUUCGCGGCGCAGGGGUGUAAAACACGUAAAAAACCUGCCUCAUACACGGAGACAACUGUUAGACCGGAUCGCUAAUACCGUAAUACAUUGUUUCUCACAGUUCAGAAAUGUAAAACUUGCUUAUGCUCACAUUAUGAGAUAUCUUUGCGGUGCAUUAGCUAGUUGGUGGGGUAAAGGCCCACCAAGGCGACGAUGCAUAGCCGACCUGAGAGGGUGAUCGGCCACACUGGAACUGAGACACGGUCCAGACUCCUACGGGAGGCAGCAGUAGGGAAUCUUCCGCAAUGGGCGAAAGCCUGACGGAGCAACGCCGCGUGAGUGAUGAAGGACUUCGGUUCGUAAAGCUCUGUUAUUAGGGAAGAACGUAUGUGUAGGAAACAUACCUCUACGUGACGGUACCUAAUCAGAAAGCCACGGCUAACUACGUG